CAGAGGAGAAAGGGAAACCGGUGUUUUCACUGAUUGAUAUUGUGAUCUAACGAGCGAGGGAUCUGUCAGUUGUAAUUUUAGAUGUUCAAAGAUCCUCUGGAGAGGAUGUGCUCGGAAAGGGAAAACAAAAUACAGUGUGUCCACCACGUCUGCCAGGCUGCCUUUGCGGCGCUCCGGGGUCCCAAACGUGAGGCCGAUCAUGGGCUCCCCGCGAUCCCUGGAACCCUCCUCUGGCUUGUGUGGAGAGGUAGAGUUAGUCUGAAUCCAUUAUUUACACGCUAUCAGUCUCCUGUGGUUGCCCAUGAGGGACAGUAGACAUAUUCAGCUCGUCAGAGUGGGUUUGGUCAUGCGAAGAGGGCGAUGCCGUCUCCUUUGGGCUCUCUCGCUCGUGUUUGGCCCAGGCCGCGUCCUGACCGGCCACUUCCUCUUCUUCAGACUGUUGUUG